CAAAAAUAAAUUAAGACAACAAAAUACAUACGGAUAUAUAAAGAUGAAAAUGACUUAUUUCUGUUAAUUUCAAGUGCUCUACGGCAUCAGUUCGGCUCAAUUUACUGUUAUCUUUAAAAGUUGCGAGUGUUCUGAGUGACCUUUAUACAUACAGUAGUAAUUUAAAAAGAAAACAAGCAGCAUCAUCUUGCACGAUCAUUAUGAUAACAGCGUGUUAAGAGAAAUGAACUAAACAAUUUCCUUCCAAAUUACUUGCCGCUUUUAUAUACCUCUUGCAUCAUAAACGUCGAAGUUCUACAGAAAUGAAAUUGUUUUGUGCCUUUCUUCUGGCAUUAGUUAUUACAACUAAAAGCAGCUCCGUUGGGAAUGAAGGGGAUUCGUCCGAACAGGAUGACGGUCUUCCAGGACGAGAGGCGUUAAAUAACUUCCCACUAAUUGAUGGGUAAGUAGAUCUUUUGAGUACAUAAUACAC